UACGAAGGGGUCUAGCGUUGUUCGGAAUUACUGGGCGUAAAGCGCACGUAGGCGGGUUGUUAAGUGAGGGGUGAAAUCCCAGGGCUCAACCCUGGAACUGCCUUUCAUACUGGCAAUCUCGAGUCCGAGAGAGGUGAGUGGAAUUCCGAGUGUAGAGGUGAGAUUCGUAGAUAUUCGGAGGAACACCAGUGGCGAAGGCGGCUCACUGGCUCGGUACUGACGCUGAGGUGCGAAAGCGUGGGGAGCAAACAGG
rnacentral:rRNA from 1 species